rnacentral:rRNA from 1 species
GACGAACGCUGGCGGCGUGCUUAACACAUGCAAGUCGAGCGGUAAGGCCCUUUCGGGGGUACACGAGCGGCGAACGGGUGAGUAACACGUGGGUGACCUGCCCUCAGCUCUGGGAUAAGCCUGGGAAACUGGGUCUAAUACCGGACUAUGACUCCAUGACGCAUGUUGUGGGGUGGAAAGCCUUGUGCGGCUGAGGAUGGGCCCGCGGCCUAUCAGCUUGUUGGUGGGGUGANGGCCUACCAAGGCGACGACGGGUAGCCGGCCUGAGAGGGCGACCGGCCACGACUGGGACUGAGACACGGCCCAGA